GAUGAAGAACGUAGCGAAAUGCGAUAAGUAAUGUGAAUUGCAGAAUUCAGUGAAUCAUCGAAUCUUUGAACGCACAUUGCGCCCGCCAGUAUUCUGGCGGGCAUGCCUGUUCGAGCGUCAUUUCAACCAUCAAGCCCCAGGGCUUGUGUUGGGGACCUGCGGCUGCCGCAGGCCCUGAAAAGCAGUGGCGGGCUCGCUGUCACACCGAGCGUAGUAGAUUUUAUCUCGCUCUGGGCGUGCUGCGGGUUCCGGCCGUUAAACCACCCUUUUAACCCAAGGUUGACCUCGGAUCAGGUAGGAAGACCCGCUGAACUUAAGCAUAUCAAUAAGCGGAGGA
rnacentral:misc_RNA from 1 species